rnacentral:lncRNA from 1 species
GUGCAACUACCGGGGAGCGACUGAGGGUAAGUGAACUGCUCGCCCCUGAGGGCAGGGCGAGAGGAUGGGUAGCCAUUUUAAGAUUCUUCUUUUGUUAUUUUGUUUCACUUUUGUUUUAAGUUGCCUGUCCCUGGAGAUGUGUAAGAUGGAAGAAAAACCGCUCACAUCUGAGGAACAGAUAGGGAGAAAGGACGGAUGGACAUUUCAGGAGGCUAUUAUAAUGAUUUUGUGUUGUUCCAAUUUUGUUUCACUCAGUUUUUGUUAGGCAUUAUCUUGUUGGGUUGUAUUAUAGUAGAAAUACGGGAUCAGAAAUUAGUAAAAAACAAACUGAAAGAGUGUUAAGUAAAUUGUUAGAGGAAGGAGGCAUCUCAGUAAAAUCAAGAACAAUCAGGGCAUACGUUGAUACAAUACAAAAAUGUAGCCCAUGGCUUUUUAAGGAGAAGCUUGUGGUGGGAGAAAGAGGCUUGUGGAAAGCCGGUGGUGGCAGUUGAGGCUCUGAGGGUUUUUCCUGAGAGGCUGUUUUGUUUGGCAUGUGUGGUUCUAAAAAUAAAGUUAGUUUCUUUUGACAAGUGGCUCCU